GACGAACGCUGGCGGCGUGCUUAACACAUGCAAGUCGAACGGAAAGGCCCUGCUUUUGUGGGGUGCUCGAGUGGCGAACGGGUGAGUAACACGUGAGUAACCUGCCCUGGACUUUGGGAUAACGUCAGGAAACUGGGGCUAAUACCGGAUAGGAGCUCCUGCUGCAUGGUGGGGGUUGGAAAGUUUCGGCGGUUGGGGAUGGACUCGCGGCUUAUCAGCUUGUUGGUGGGGUAGUGGCUUACCAAGGCUUUGACGGGUAGCCGGCCUGAGAGGGUGACCGGCCACAUUGGGACUGAGAUACGGACCAGACUCCUACGGGAGGCAGCAGUGGGGAAUAUUGCACAAUGGGCGGAAGCCUGAUGCAGCAACGCCGCGUGCGGGAUGACGGCCUUCGGGUUGUAAACCGCUUUCGCCUGUGACGAAGCGUGAGUGACGGUAAUGGGUAAAGAAGCACCGGCUAACUACGUG
rnacentral:rRNA from 1 species